rnacentral:rRNA from 1 species
UCGAGAAUUUUUCUCAAUGGGCGAAAGCCUGAAGGAGCGACGCCGCGUGGGGGAUGAAUGGCUUCGGCCCGUAAACCCCUGUCAUUUGCGAACAAGUUGGUUCAUUUAACACCUGAACCAUUGAUAGUAGCGGAAGAGGAAGGGACGGCUAACUCUGUGCCAGCAGCCGCGGUAAUACAGAGGUCCCAAGCGUUGUUCGGAUUCACUGGGCGUAAAGGGUGCGUAGGCGGUUGGAUAAGUCUGAUGUGAAAUCCCGCAGCUUAACUGCGGAACUGCACUGGAAACUGUCCGACUAGAGGAAUGGAGGGGAGACUGGAAUACUUGGUGUAGCAGUGAAAUGCGUAGAUAUCAAGUGGAACACCAGUGGCGAAGGCGAGUCUCUGGACAUUUCCUGACGCUGAGGCACGAAAGCCAGGGGAGCAAACGGGAUUAGAUACCCCCGUAGUCC